GGAUAUAUAGCUCAAUGGUAGAGCACAUGCUUAGCAAGCACAAGGUCCUGGGUUCAAUCCCCAGUCCCUCCA
rnacentral:tRNA from 1 species